rnacentral:rRNA from 1 species
UGCUAGUCGCACGAGUUUAGACUCGUGGCAGAUAGCUCAGUAACACGUGGCCAAGCUACCCUCUGGACGGGAAUAUCCUCGGGAAACUGAGGCCAAUCCCCGAUACUACUUCUGUCCUGGAAUGGGUGGAGAGUCAAACGCUCCGGCGCCAGAGGUUGUGGCUGCGGCCGAUUAGGUAGACGGUGGGGUAACGGCCCACCGUGCCAGUAAUCGGUACGGGUUGUGAGAGCAAGAGCCCGGAGACGGUAUCUGAGACAAGAUACCGGGCCCUACGGGGCGCAGCAGGCGCGAAACCUUUACACUGCACGACAGUGCGAUAAGGGGAUCCCCAGUGCGAGGGCAUACAGUCCUCGCUUUUCACCACCGUACGAUGGUGGUGGAACAAGAGCUGGGCAAGACCGGUGCCAGCCGCCGCGGUAAUACCGGCAGCUCGAGUGAUGGCCGUUCUUAUUGGGCCUAAAGCGUCCGUAGCCGGCCACGCAAGUUCGUCGGGAAAUCCACAUGCUCAACAUGUGGGCGUCCGGCGAAACCUGCGUGGCUUGGGACCAGACGACCCGAAGGGUACGGCCGGGGUAGGAGUGAAAUCCUGUAAUCCCGGCCGGACCACCGGUGGCGAAAGCGCUUCGGGAGGACGGAUCCGACGGUGAGGGACGAAAGCCAGGGUCACGAACCGGAUUAGAUACCCGGGUAGUCCUGGCCGUAAACGAUGCCGUUAGGU